GAGAAGAAGAAAGAAAAAGGAAAAGAAAGAAAGAAAAGAAAAAAAAGAAGGAAAAGGUUUUGGGUCAAAGGUCCGGUGGGCUUGCAAAACAGGAUUUGAGUGGCAAGCUUGGGUCUUCUGUGGGCUUGUGAAAAUUGGGCCAAUCUAGCCCAGUAAGAUGUCAAAGAUUGAGAUUGUGUAUUUCAUUCCCAUUGUUGACGAUUAAUAAGUGAAGAGGUUAGAAAUGCUUUCUUCACACUUCAAUUGAGCCUAUGUGAGUGAAUGUGAAUAGCCAAGCCAUGGAAGAGAUUCGAGUUGAUAAUUUGCAAAAGUUAAUGGUCUUGUGUUAGAUAGUUUUGUUUUGUGGAUGUUAAUUUUAUUAUCUUUAACUUUUUAUUAUAUUGAAGUUUGAAUGUUAAUUUGAUGGUUUAUAUAAAAAGAUAUAAUUAUGUAAA